GACGAACGCUGGCGGCGUGCCUAAUACAUGCAAGUAGAACGCACAGUUUAUACCGUAGCUUGCUACACCAUAGACUGUGAGUUGCGAACGGGUGAGUAACGCGUAGGUAACCUGCCUGGUAGCGGGGGAUAACUAUUGGAAACGACAGCUAAUACCGCAUAAUAUUAAUUAUUGCAUGAUAAUUGAUUGAAAGAUGCAACUGCAUCACUACCAGAUGGACCUGCGUUGUAUUAGCUAGUAGGUGAGGUAACGGCUCACCUAGGCGACGAUACAUAGCCGACCUGAGAGGGUGAUCGGCCACACUGGGACUGAGACACGGCCCAGACUCCUACGGGAGGCAGCAGUAGGGAAUCUUCGGCAAUAGACGAAAGUCUGACCGAGCAACGCCGCGUGAGUGAAGAAGGUUGUCGGAUCGUAAAGCUCUGUUGUAAGAGAAGAACGGGUGUGAGAGUGGAAAGUUCACACUGUGACGGUAUCUUACCAGAAAGGGACGGCUAACUACGUG
rnacentral:rRNA from 1 species